UCUAAUUGGCUAGAGCGACUGCCUUGCACGCAGUAGGUUGUGGGUUCGAAUCCCACAUUCUCC
rnacentral:tRNA from 1 species